rnacentral:tRNA from 1 species
UCCCGGGUCGUCUAGCCAGGCAGGACGAGGGUCUUUGGUACCCUUAACAGAGGUUCGAAUCCUCUCCCGGGAG